rnacentral:rRNA from 1 species
UACGUAGGGUGCAAGCGUUAAUCGGAAUUACUGGGCGUAAAGCGUACGCAGGCGGCUUUGCCAGACAGGUGUGAAAUCCCCGGGCCUAACCUGGGAACUGCAUUUGUGACUGCAUGGCUAGAGUUUGUCAGAGGGGGGUGGAAUUCCACGUGUAGCAGUGAAAUGCGUAGAGAUGUGGAAGAACACCGAUGGCGAAGGCAGCCCCCUGGGAUGAGACUGACGCUCAUGUACGAAAGCGUGGGGAGCAAACAGG